rnacentral:rRNA from 1 species
GGGUCAGUAGGUUGGUCGUGCCACCGGUACGUACUGGUCUCACUGACUCCUCCUUCCUGAAGAACCGUAAUGCCAUUAAUUUGGUGUUGCGGGGAAACAGGACUGUUACUUUGAAAAAAUUAGAGUGUUUAAAGCAAGCUAACGCUUGAAUACAUUAGCAUGUAAUAAUGAAAUAGGACGAUCGAUCCUAUUUUGUUGGUUUCUAGGAUUGACGUA